CAUGUUUCUUGGUGGGCAUAGUAGGUCCCAGCUUUCAGUUUUUUGUGGAGAUGCUUCGCUUACCCUGAACUCUGUUCUUUUCUGUUGUAUUUUUUAAAAUAGCUCUUCCCGUUAAAAAAGUGAAAUAUUUGCUUUUUAGAAGGUUGUAUUUGGGCUUACAACAACAACAACAUACCCAGUGUAGGAUUACAGGCAAGAAUAAUAUAUGUUGUCAAGGUCAUAGGUGAUACUGGUUAUAUAAAAUUGUCUCAUGUCUCUCAGAACAUUAUUCUACUCGUACUUGUUAUUGAUAUUGAUAUUGUUGUGUGUUGACCACGUCUAAGCAUGAUCCAAAUGUAAUGCCAAGUUGAAUCUCCAAUGUAGAGGGAAAAUCCAAUUAUUUGACUAAAAUAUGUCACAUCAGAUUUGACAUGAAGAUUUCAAUAUCAUUUCUAGCCGCCUUUUACUGUUCUAUAAAGUGGGCACUGUAAGUUGGUGUUGUAGUGAGACAUGGAUCAGGGUUUUUUUUUGUGUAUGAAUAGUUUGGAAGUCAAAUUUGCUACUCACUUUUGUUAAUUGACAGGAGCUUGGAAUUAAUGCUCUUCACAUUAAGCUUCGGGCUACAGGAGGAAACAAAACUAAGACUCCUGGUCCUGGUGCCCAGUCUCCUCUUAGAGCCCUUGCUCGUUCUGGAAUGAAAAUUGGACGCAUAGAGGAUGUUACUCCUAUUCCCACUGACAGUACUCGCAGAAAGGGUGGUAGAAGAGGAAGGAGGCUGUGAAUUCUUCUCAGCAACAAACUUGCUGCCUGGCAGAAUAUUUUGGUUAAGGAUGCAACUUUGAUUUUGUUUUACAUCUUAGAUUUGAGCAUUUUGUAGACCGAGUACAAGUUAUUCUGACUUAUGAUCAUUUGGAGCUUUUGCAACAUUGUGAGAUGGAAAAUAUUUCGUGGAGUUGGAUUAGUAAUUUGUCUUUGCUGUUAUGUUCGUCUCACCAGACGGUGACAACUUUUUGGUU